rnacentral:rRNA from 1 species
GUGGGGAAUCUUCCGCAAUGGACGAAAGUCUGACGGAGCAACGACGCGUGAGUGAUGAAGGUCUUCGGAUUGUAAAGCUCUGUUAAUCGGGACGAAAGAGCCUAGUGUGAAUAAUGCUAGGAAGUGACGGUACCGGAAUAGAAAGCCACGGCUAACUACGUGCCAGCAGCCGCGGUAAUACGUAGGUGGCAAGCGUUGUCCGGAAUUAUUGGGCGUAAAGCGCGCGCAGGCGGAUCUGCCAGUCUGUCUUAAAAGUUCGGGGCUUAACCCCGUGAUGGGAUGGAAACUACAGAUCUAGAGUAUCGGAGAGGAAAGUGGAAUUCCUAGUGUAGCGGUGAAAUGCGUAGAUAUUAGGAAGAACACCAGUGGCGAAGGCGACUUUCUGGACGAAAACUGACGCUGAGGCGCGAAAGCCAGGGGAGCGAACGGGAUUAGAAACCCGAGUAGUCC